GACGAACGCUGGCGGCGUGCUUAACACAUGCAAGUCGAACGAUGAACCCGGAGCUUGCUCCGGCGGAUUAGUGGCGAACGGGUGAGUAACACGUGAGUAACCUGCCCUUGACUCUGGGAUAACUGCGGGAAACUGUAGCUAAUACCGGAUACGACCCUCGGCGGCAUCGCCAGGGGGUGGAAAGAAUUUCGGUCAAGGAUGGACUCGCGGCCUAUCAGCUAGUUGGUGAGGUAACGGCUCACCAAGGCGACGACGGGUAGCCGGCCUGAGAGGGUGGCCGGCCACACUGGGACUGAGACACGGCCCAGACUCCUACGGGAGGCAGCAGUGGGGAAUAUUGCACAAUGGGCGCAAGCCUGAUGCAGCAACGCCGCGUGAGGGAUGACGGCCUUCGGGUUGUAAACCUCUUUUAGUAGGGAAGAAGCGAAAGUGACGGUACCUGCAGAAAAAGCACCGGCUAACUACGUGCCAGCAGCCGCCGCGG
rnacentral:rRNA from 1 species